rnacentral:lncRNA from 1 species
AGAUAUUUUUCAGGAGGAGCAUCCAGAAGUAUGCUACACUAAUUUCUAUACUACUCUUCUUUCAACCAGUUUCCUACUUCACUGGGUUUUCUCCUAGCAAGACUUAAUGAAGCAACCAACAUGUUACUAGUGGUCUCCAAUGGGGAGUAUUGUAAAGUUAGUGGAGACCAAGCCCACAUGUUGGAAAGAAGCAUCAUGA